rnacentral:rRNA from 1 species
UACGAGUACCCCAAGCGUUAUCCGGAAUCAUUGGGCGUAAAGGGUGUGUAGGUGGUCUUAUUAGUCUUUUGUUAAAAUUUCCGGCUUAACCGGAGACCUGCAAGGGAAACAGUAAGACUAGAGGGUGCGAGGGGUGAAUGGAACUCAUGGAGUAGGGGUGAAAUCCGUUGAUAUCAUGGGGAACACCAAAAGCGAAGGCAAUUCACUGGCGCAUUACUGACACUGAAACACGAAAGCGUGGGUAGCGAACUGG